CCUACGGGUGGCAGCAGUGGGGAAUAUUGGACAAUGGGCGAAAGCCUGAUCCAGCCAUGCCGCGUGUGUGAAGAAGGCCUUCGGGUUGUAAAGCACUUUCAGUGGGGAAGAAAGCCUUGGGGCUAAUACCCUCGAGGAAGGACAUCACCCACAGAAGAAGCACCGGCUAACUCCGUGCCAGCAGCCGCGGUAAUACGGAGGGUGCGAGCGUUAAUCGGAAUUACUGGGCGUAAAGCGCGCGUAGGCGGUCUGAUAAGCCGGUUGUGAAAGCCCCAGGCUCAACCUGGGAACGGCAUCCGGAACUGUCAGGCUAGAGUGCAGGAGAGGAAGGUAGAAUUCCCGGUGUAGCGGUGAAAUGCGUAGAGAUCGGGAGGAAUACCAGUGGCGAAGGCGGCCUUCUGGACUGACACUGACGCUGAGGUGCGAAAGCGUGGGUAGCAAACAGGAUUAGAUACCCCUGUAGUC
rnacentral:rRNA from 1 species